UCACAGAUCUGUUGUUUCGUUGUCUUCCAGUGAUGAUUUCAUCUUAAUUGAAAUUGCGGUUCAAGCCUCAUCCAGUGUUAGGAAUUUGUCUGUCAAGAAUGAGGUUAAAUCGUUUUUAGGCCAAAGAACAGAUGGGACAGAAAUAAAGAAAGCUACAUUAAUAAAGGCUGAAAGAUCAGAAAACAGAAAAGUGGUUAUAAGGGAGAUAACUGAUGAUGAAAUUCUGAAUGCAGCUUUAGUUUACAGCAUUGAGACUAGCAGUAAAUUAGUAAUGACAUCAUAUCAUGCUGUAAAAUGCCAGAAUGGGGAAGUAAUUAACCAGGGUAACCCUGUCUACUGCCAAGAUGAAAAUGACAGUGCUAAGAUAUAUAUUGGUCUUUUUAAUGAGGGGUACCAUAUCAAAGGAGAUCAGGAAAUAUUCCAAAUUGUGAAGGUACAACUAUUUGAAAUACUUUCAAUGGAUGAAAGGAUGGGAUUUCAAGCUGUAAAACUGAAAUUAUCAAAUAACUUCAAAUUUAUUAAAGUAGAGAAUGUAUUGCAAAAAAUAUGCAUUAUACAUGACUGUUUGUCUGGUGGAAGCCACAAGAAAGAGUGUGUUCAGACAGUAAUUUUUGAGCAGGCGAAAACAGAUAUAAAAAAAUUAAUUGGGUAUCACUCUCCUUUUAAUAUGAUCUAUUAUUUGAACAAGUUUAGAUUUUCACAUGAUGUUAAAAUAUGUUAAGGUAGAUUGGGUGUCUUCCUCUAUCUUGGAUUGUUAAAAAUCAGAAAAAAAAUUAGCCCAGCAAGACUUUAUUAUAUUUUGUUAUAUGCACAUCUUAUAGGGGAUGAUAUUUUAUUUGCAAGACUUUGCUUGUUUUUAUGAAGAACACUAUGUGUUUUAUAUGAUAUCAGAUAAAUGAUUUCACAAAAAACAGAAUAUUUUAUGGUUUGAUUCAAGUUUAGCCCAACUUUGUAAUUUAAGUGGAGAUAAAUAAGAUAAUCUGAAAAAUUUUCUAAACCUGAAGCUUGAAAAAAUGUAAGUGACCCACAUUUUUUAUUAUAUUUAUUCAAAAAGGAAUGACAAUAAAAAAUGUAUUGACAAAAUAGUAAAAAUUCUAUUGUGUUUUUUUUUUUGGUAAAGAGAACCCUGAUCUACCUUAACUGAUUAUAUAUUUGUCAAUUUUACAAGUAGACUGUAUAGAUCUCUGAUUUUAACUUUUUUGUUUAAUUUCGUGUUUUUAAUACUUUUCUUAGACUAUUAAAAUACUCUUGUCAACUAAAAUCAAAGCUUAACGGAUAGUGUAUUACGGGUUUAAUUGGCUAAAUCAAGAUGUCCUCUUUAUGACGAAUUUAGAAAACAUUUAUAUUAUGUUGCUGACACUUUAACUCAAAAUCUAAUACUUAAAAUGACAUCAAAAAAUUAGUGUUUUUAUUCUCAGAUGUAAAUAUGAUACAUGUGUGUUCCAAAAUCCAGUUAUUUAAUUUUAAGUAGACAUUUUAUUUCGUGUAAAUUGUACUUUAUUCCAUAUGUUAUAUCAAUGCAUUUUAAUUCUGUAUAGAAUGUUCUCAUUUAUAAUAUAGAUUGUACUUGUUGAGAUAUGAGACUUUAGUAAACCAUGGAAAGGAAUUGUUACAAAUUAUUAGAAAUCAUUACUUAAUGUCGGUUUUAUGAAUCCUGCAAUUAUUCUAUUCAGGAUGAAAGUGCACCCUCUUUUCUUUUGCAAGCAGAAGCAACAUAGUGUCCCAUUUUAAAAAUAAUUAAAAAGUAAUUUUAAUUGAACAGCCUUAUGACUGAUAUUCAUGAAUUAUUGCGUAUAAAUGUUUAAUGGUGGACAAUGAUAAAAGUGUAUUGUGAGGUGUAGAUUUUAUUACUAUAUACCACUUUUGGUAUGCAUAUAUUUAAGAAAAGUGUUUAUACAUUUAUUACACUUCAUGAGACUUACAAAUUUAAAUUUGAAAAAACUGCAUAUUCUUUGUGAGUCUACCUGUAUGCAAUGCUUAUGUUAAUUAAGAAUACAAACAUUUUUUUUUUCAUUAUGGCUGAACUAAAUACUUGCAAAAUGUACAGGGAUGAAAUGUAAUUAUUUAUUUGGAGAUGUUUUAUUGCUGAAUUGACAGUCUUUAAACAUAGUGGAAUUUGAGUAUUUUUGUAUUAUUAUUACACCUUGUAGAUGUUUUAUUCACCUGUAAUGAUCAUAUCAGAAAACUAUAUAACAACAUUUUGAGUAAACAAUUCUUACUUUAUUAUGGGAUUUUUAACACUUUUGAAGUUGUACCAUUAACACAUCAUGCAAAUGCUUUUCUAUGACACCAAACUCUCAUUUUGUGAAAUCUACAAAUUGUGAUUAUUUAUUGCCUUUUAUGGCAUGACAUUCAGACAUUUUUUUUUAUAUGAAAGCUUAGUCACAUCUUAGGUGUAAGUUACCUGAAAGGCUUUUAUAUAGUAUUCAUAUUUUUAUAACAUAUUUUCAAAAACAGAAAUGUACAUUAACAAACUUUGACUGCAAUUAUUAAUAGGAAAUUACAAAUGCUAAAUGAAAUCCCUGGAACUUGGUGUAUUUUUUUUUUGAUUUAUGAAAAUAACAUGUUUAUUUGGUCACCCAAAAUUAUGGUUGAAUAGUUAAUUUGGAAUAUUUCAAAAUAAAUAUUAGUUCAUAGUUUCAGUGAAUUUGAGGUUUGAUAGUUUUUACAGGUAAAUAAAAAAGUAAUAUAUAGUUGAAUAUUUUGUAUUGUAAAAUUCUGCAAAUGAAUUACUUAUUUUCUUACAAUGAUUAUCAUAAUUAACAUUUUUAAACCAUAAUUCUAUAUGCAAUUUAUUGUCAUUGAAGUAAAAUAUUGUAAAGAAAGAGUUGAAGAACAAUUAAAGUUUUACAGUCUGAAUCAUCAAAAAUGUUCAUUAUUGUUCUUCCUAAAUUUAAGAUGAAAUAUUGCUGGUUAAAAAUUUAUUAUGUCUAGUGAUUCUGUUAGGGGGUCACAAAAUCUGCUUUUCAUUGUUAACCAUUUUCAGGUUCACCCUGAGACAAACAUUUUGUAGUCAAUCGGUAAAAAAAAUCUUAGAUGAAGCAAUAUGCUAUAAAAUUGCCACAUAAUGAUGGUCAAGAAUGAUUUUAUUUAUUAAAAGGUUUGAAUCUUAGUAUAUAAACAUCAAA